rnacentral:rRNA from 1 species
AUUGAACGCUGGCGGCAGGCCUAACACAUGCAAGUCGAACGGUAACAGGAAGCAGCUUGCUGCUUUGCUGACGAGUGGCGGACGGGUGAGUAAUGUCUGGGAAACUGCCCGAUGGAGGGGGAUAACUACUGGAAACGGUAGCUAAUACCGCAUAACGUCGCAAGACCAAAGAGGGGGACCUUAGGGCCUCUUGCCACCGGAUGUGCCCAGAUGGGAUUAGCUAGUAGGUGGGGUAACGGCUCACCUAGGCGACGAUCCCUAGCUGGUCUGAGAGGAUGACCAGCCACACUGGAACUGAGACACGGUCCAGACUCCUACGGGAGGCAGCAGUGGGGAAUAUUGCACAAUGGGCGCAAGCCUGAUGCAGCCAUGCCGCGUGUAUGAAGAAGGCCUUCGGGUUGUAAAGUACUUUCAGCGGGGAGGAAGGGAGUAAAGUUAAUACCUUUGCUCAUUGACGUUACCCGCAGAAGAAGCACCGGCUAACUCCGUG